AAAUUGAAGAGUUUGAUCAUGGCUCAGAUUGAACGCUGGCGGCAGGCCUAACACAUGCAAGUCGAACGGUAACAGGAAGAAGCUUGCUUCUUUGCUGACGAGUGGCGGACGGGUGAGUAAUGUCUGGGAAACUGCCUGAUGGAGGGGGAUAACUACUGGAAACGGUAGCUAAUACCGCAUAACGUCGCAAAACCAAAGAGGGGGACCUUCGGGCCUCUUGCCAUCGGAUGUGCCCAGAUGGGAUUAGCUAGUAGGUGGGGUAACGGCUCACCUAGGCGACGAUCCCUAGCUGGUCUGAGAGGAUGACCAGCCACACUGGAACUGAGACACGGUCCAGACUCCUACGGGAGGCAGCAGUGGGGAAUAUUGCACAAUGGGCGCAAGCCUGAUGCAGCCAUGCCGCGUGUAUGAAGAAGGCCUUCGGGUUGUAAAGUACUUUCAGCGGGGAGGAAGGGAGUAAAGUUAAUACCUUUGCUCAUUGACGUUACCCGCAGAAGAAGCACCGGCUAACUCCGUGCCAGCAGCCGCGGUAAUACGGAGGGUGCAAGCGUUAAUCGGAAUUACUGGGCGUAAAGCGCACGCAGGCGGUUUGUUAAGUCAGAUGUGAAAUCCCCGGGCUCAACCUGGGAACUGCAUCUGAUACUGGCAAGCUUGAGUCUCGUAGAGGGGGGUAGAAUUCCAGGUGUAGCGGUGAAAUGCGUAGAGAUCUGGAGGAAUACCGGUGGCGAAGGCGGCCCCCUGGACGAAGACUGACGCUCAGGUGCGAAAGCGUGGGGAGCAAACAGGAUUAGAUACCCUGGUAGUCCACGCCGUAAACGAUGUCGACUUGGAGGUUGUGCCCUUGAGGCGUGGCUUCCGGAGCUAACGCGUUAAGUCGACCGCCUGGGGAGUACGGCCGCAAGGUUAAAACUCAAAUGAAUUGACGGGGGCCCGCACAAGCGGUGGAGCAUGUGGUUUAAUUCGAUGCAACGCGAAGAACCUUACCUGGUCUUGACAUCCACGGAAGUUUUCAGAGAUGAGAAUGUGCCUUCGGGAACCGUGAGACAGGUGCUGCAUGGCUGUCGUCAGCUCGUGUUGUGAAAUGUUGGGUUAAGUCCCGCAACGAGCGCAACCCUUAUCCUUUGUUGCCAGCGGUCCGGCCGGGAACUCAAAGGAGACUGCCAGUGAUAAACUGGAGGAAGGUGGGGAUGACGUCAAGUCAUCAUGGCCCUUACGACCAGGGCUACACACGUGCUACAAUGGCGCAUACAAAGAGAAGCGACCUCGCGAGAGCAAGCGGACCUCAUAAAGUGCGUCGUAGUCCGGAUUGGAGUCUGCAACUCGACUCCAUGAAGUCGGAAUCGCUAGUAAUCGUGGAUCAGAAUGCCACGGUGAAUACGUUCCCGGGCCUUGUACACACCGCCCGUCACACCAUGGGAGUGGGUUGCAAAAGAAGUAGGUAGCUUAACCUUCGGGAGGGCGCUUACCACUUUGUGAUUCAUGACUGGGGUGAAGUCGUAACAAGGUAACCGUAGGGGAACCUGCGGUUGGAUCACCUCCUUACCUUAAAGAAGC
rnacentral:rRNA from 1 species